rnacentral:rRNA from 1 species
AGGUCUGCCGAAAGAAUAAUUUUCUUUUUACUUAUUUAAUUUAAUAAAUAAAUAAAAAAGUUUAUUUUUCUUAGAUAGACGAUAAGACCCUAAAACCUUCAAUGGGAAUACCUACACUCUUUUUGCUGGGGCGGCAAAUUAUAAUUUCAUAAUUUAUUCAAACAUAAUGAAUGAACCAUUAAAUAACUUAAAUUAAAUUCAAAAAGGUACUUUAGGGAUAACAGCAUAAUUUUUAUAUAGAGUUACUUAUCGACAUAAAAGAUUAUGACCUCGAUGUUGAAUUGAUAAUGCUUUACUAAGCAGCCAUAGUAAUAUGCAGGUCCGUUCGACCUUUAAAUUAUCACGUGAUCUGAG